rnacentral:rRNA from 1 species
UGCAGAAUCCCGCGAAUCAUCGAGUUUUUGAACGCAAGUUGCGCCCAAAGCCAUUUGGCCGAGGGCACGUCUGCCUGGGUGUCACGC